GACAGGAGGAGCUCUUCAUUUAUUCCAGUGUACAAGAUUAAUGACUUCUCUGGUUUCUCAAAGCUAAUGCAAGUGUGAUUCACGGGAAGAACGGCAUUUUGACAUCCUCCAUCAAGGCCUGAGUCAAAGGGCAUACAGCAGCUUCUAUGCCACCCAAAAGUCUCUUGAUACAGCUCAGUAAUUAUAAUUUGAAGUUAAGGAACAUAACUUCAUGAAAGAGGACUUGAUUAACAUGCAACAANUUUUUCAUUUCAUUAGCUGGCACCUCCAGUUAAAAACAUCUGAAAGUGUAUGAGAUGACAAACUCGCCCUCAAGAUCCUGAACACCUGCCAGAGGGAUGAGCUGUACCCGAGUGGAAGAAAUUUACUUUGCUUGCCAGAUUCAAUCCUUGGUGUCCUUAGAUCUAAUGUUCAAGAGAAGUGUCUGCAGGAGAAGGACAAUGUUGCUUNUUUAUUGUUCUCUCAGAAUUCAACCAUAUAUAGAAGGAUGACCUCCUCUUUCAAGAUCAGGGUUUAUAUCAAAAACAUUUAAUUGCAGGGCAGUCUGGCAUUAAGAAAUAUGGAGAUCAAAGAGGUAACUGAGAACAAAAAUCUCACCCAUCUUCAUGCUUCUUAGGGUUUAAAUUCCAGUGUGCAAGAAGAAGUGAGGACAGACAAGCAACCAGAUGUCUGGAGUGCAGAGCUAUUGCAUGAAAUGAAAGCUUCGCCUUCUGACAAGGUAUUUUGGGUCACUUUGAAGGGGNGACCCAGCAGCUUCCAUAGGUUUGCUGAAUACAACAGGGAAUUUGUUAUGUUACAANAAAAAUACUAUGAGAAAUCCUCAANGAAUGAAUAUGAUNUGAAGAGGAAGCUGGGGGAANCNGUAUUUUUUAAAAAAUUAUUACAUUAAAUUGAUUUUUAAAAUUAUAGUAUUAUGUUGAAUGGAUACAUACCAUCAUAGUUUUACCACUAGAUGGCAAUAUUGUUCAUUUCUAAGCCUUUAUAUGCUGUCNCUGCUCUGCAGAUUCAGGUCUGCUUCUGCCCAAACAGCCUAAUGACUAUUUUAUNUCUUUGCCUGUAACUGCACUCUCUGUUACUCUCUACAAUCUUGAGACACAAAAAUAAGGAGGCUUUCUUUUAAAAAUAACUUUAUACAGAAGCACAACUUGGAUAAUGAGUGCUUUGCAAACGCAAGCUGCUGCAGAUGAUGGAGAAUUGGCACAUGUACACGUGUUG
rnacentral:lncRNA from 1 species